AUGGUAAAUCACGAGUUGGUGACCAAUUGGAUUUUGGAUCUGAGGAAAAAACUCCAGCGUCAGAGGGAACUCUGGAAGUUUUGCCCGGAGCAAACGGAAGGGUGGCGUUGCCAUCGCCUAAAAUGGGAAAAUGGCAGGUGUCACAGGUUGCAGGGGAAGGUGCGAGACCAGGUGAGGGCCCCUGAGCCUUCCCGGAAAGAGUUUCCCAUGCAGCCCAUCUCGGUUUCCGCAUCCGUCUGAUUCCUUAUGAUGUUGAGGGUGCCGGGGUCUGGGUCCUUUAUGAUGCAGAGGGUAUCCCCGUCUCACCCCGGGCCCCUCUCGGCUCCCGCCUCCUCCUGGCAACCUGGUGCGCGACUCCAGACCUGGCGACCCGCGACCGUCUCGUCAUUCGCUGCCGCCUCGCAAAGGCACAUCUCUAGGCCAGUGGUGAGCUGCGGCCGGGUCGCUGCAACUCGCUCCAGGACUCGCGACCCGUGGCCUUGGUGUCCCUCGCGGAGCCCUCGGUGUGUCGCCUGCAGGCUCUUUGUUUUGAAGAAAGUAGGGAGGGAAAGGCCUUGUGAGACGACUCCAGGAGCAAAGAGCGACCCUUACAAGGCCCACGUCCUCCCAGAGCACAGGGGAACUGUCGCCUCAGACGGAAGAAGAAAGAGAAAGCAGCCUCUGGUGUCUCCCUGAUGGUCUAGUGGCUAGGAUUCGGCGCUUUCACCGCCGCGGCCCGGGUUCGAUUCCCGGUCAGGGAAUCAUUUUGCAUUGGGCGCACUCCCACAGGAAUCUUUCUUUACUACGCUGUCAGCCAUCCUGCUCCAAGGGCCAGAUGCAGAACAGUCUCCGCAGCGAGGGGCAAACCCCAGCGAAGGAGGGCGAGUCCUGGUGGACCAGCUCUCACGUUUAUCUCCGUGUCUGUCAUCCGCUGAAGAGGUUUUAGAGAGCGCCUGAGCCUCUCGCUCAGGUGUACACAGCCGUGCAGAGGUGCCAGCCCCCGUGCAGUUGUACCCAAUAAGGCCAUCCUCUUUGCCGUCGC